rnacentral:rRNA from 1 species
UACAGAGGGUGCAAGCGUUGUUCGGAAUUACUGGGCGUAAAGGGCGUGCAGGCGGCUUGUCAAGUCAGAUGUGAAAGCCCACGGCUCAACCGUGGAAGCGCAUUUGAAACUGGCAGGCUUGAGUACCAGAGGGGAAAGUGGAAUUCCCGGCGUAGAGGUGAAAUUCGUAGAUAUCGGGAGGAAUACCGGUGGCGAAGGCGACUUUCUGGCUGGAUACUGACGCUGAGACGCGAAAGCGCGGGGAGCAAACAGG